GCAGCAGCCGCGGUAAUACAGAGUGUGCGAGCGUUAAUCGGAUUUACUGGGCGUAAAGCGUGCGUAGGCGGCUUUUUAAGUCGGAUGUGAAAUCCCUGAGCUUAACUUAGGAAUUGCAUUCGAUACUGGGAAGCUAGAGUAUGGGAGAGGAUGGUAGAAUUCCAGGUGUAGCGGUGAAAUGCGUAGAGAUCUGGAGGAAUACCGAUGGCGAAGGCAGCCAUCUGGCCUAAUACUGACGCUGAGGUACGAAAGCAUGGGGAGCAAACAGGAUUAGAUACCCCCGUAGUCCCUGUCUCUUAUAA
rnacentral:rRNA from 1 species